GACGAACGCUGGCGGCGUGCCUAAUACAUGCAAGUCGAACGCACUCUCGUUUAGAUUGAAGGAGCUUGCUCCUGAUUGAUAAACAUUUGAGUGAGUGGCGGACGGGUGAGUAACACGUGGGUAACCUGCCCUAAAGUGGGGGAUAACAUUUGGAAACAGAUGCUAAUACCGCAUAAAACCUAACACCGCAUGGUGUAGGGUUGAAAGAUGGUUUCGGCUAUCACUUUAGGAUGGACCCGCGGUGCAUUAGUUAGUUGGUGAGGUAAAGGCUCACCAAGACCGUGAUGCAUAGCCGACCUGAGAGGGUAAUCGGCCACACUGGGACUGAGACACGGCCCAGACUCCUACGGGAGGCAGCAGUAGGGAAUCUUCCACAAUGGACGAAAGUCUGAUGGAGCAACGCCGCGUGAGUGAAGAAGGUUUUCGGAUCGUAAAACUCUAGUUGUUGGUAGAAGAAUGUAUCUGAUAGUAACUGAUCAGGUAGUGACGGUAUCCAACCA
rnacentral:rRNA from 1 species